rnacentral:lncRNA from 1 species
GAUGAAAUUGCAAGUUCAUGAUGUAUGAAAAUGGGUAGUUUGUAAAUUAUGCUCAAUUGGUGAAUUAUGCAUGGUUGUUGAUGAAUUGUGAUAUGUUUCAUGAUCAAUAGAUGUUGUUGUUGUUAAGUGAUGUUAUGAAUGCUAAUUCAUGGCUUGGGUAUGCAUGAUUCAUAAUUUUGUUGUUGUGAAAUAAGUUGUUGUUGUUAGUUUGGUGAAAAUGGAUAAUUAUAUGUUUUGCUCAAUUGUUGGAUUGGGAUAUUGUGUUGUUGAAUUAUGGUUGAAUUCAUGUCUACAUGAAAUGUUGUUGAAGUAGAUAUGUUGUUGUUGUUGAAUGAUAUCAUGAGUAUUCCAUUUUAUGAAAUAAGUUGUUUGUAUUGGUGAAGUUGUGCUAGAUGUUCAAGUGAAGAACCCAAAGUGAAAUUUGAUAUACAAAGAUGUUGACUGAGUUGUCUAUGUGGUUGGAUGAGUUAAACUUGAUGGAAUUUCUAUUUGUAUGUUGUGGUUAUGAUAGUCUAGUCGUUUGAGAGAAAACGGGAGUUUCAUUUGAAAAUUCAUUUGUUAACCGUUUUGGAAAAUGAGUGUUUGUGUGAGGUUUGUAAAAUGAAUUUGAGUUUGUUGAAACUGGG